CCCUUAGAUGUUCUGGGCCGCACGCGCGCUACACUGACGAAGUCAGCGAGCAUCUCCUUCGCCGAAAGGUGCGGGGAAUCUUGUGAAACUUUGUCGUGCUGGGGAUUGAUUUUUGAAAUUCUUGAUCAUCAACGAGGAAUUCCUAGUAAGCGCAAGUCAGCAGCUUGCGUUGAUUACGUCCCUGCCCUUUGUACACACCGCCCGUCGCUACUACCGAUUGGGUGUGCUGGUGAAAUGUUCGGAUCGGCCGUUUGUCGCGGUUUCCGCGUCAUGUGGCUGAGAAGUUCAUUAAACCCUCCCACCUAGAGGAAGGAGAAGUCGUAACA
rnacentral:rRNA from 1 species